rnacentral:rRNA from 1 species
AUGAGCGUUUUUAAGCUUCCGGCGGCCACUUGCGAGGACCUUAUGAGAAUGAUUCGGAACUUUUUUUGGGGCAUAGAGAAAGGGAAGAGGAAGAUGCAUUGGAGAGCAUGGAUUCAUUUGAUCAAACCGAAGUCACAAGGGGGACUGGGUUUUCGUGAUCUGCGUCUAUUUAAUCAAGCCCUCCUCGCACGCCAAGCUUGGCGGCUAUUGAUCAACCCGGAUAGCCUGUGCGCCCGUAUUUUGAAGGCAAGGUACUACCCAAAUGGCAGCUUGGAGGACACCGUCUUCUCAGGUGGUGCCUCAGCGACAUGGCAAGGGGUGGUACAUGGUCUCGAUCUCUUGAAAACAGGACUUGUUUGGCGUGUGGGGAAUGGGAACUCCAUCAGAAUUUGGCGUGAUCGCUGGCUCCCAAGGAAUGGCAGCGGCAGACCGGUGACACCGCAGGGUCGCUGUCGUCUCUGCCGGGUGAGUGACCUGCUGGAUAACCAUGGCGCUUGGCGCAUGGAUGUGGUUCGGGAGACAUUUUUUCCGGUGGACGCGGAGGAGAUAGCCAAGAUCAGAACAUCACCGAGGAUGGGAGACGACAUCCUUGCAUGGGGUCCAGAACGCAAUGGAUGUUUUUCGGUGCGAAGCGCUUAUCGACUUGCUUUGGAGGAUCAUCUUCGAUCUUCUUCAGUCGCGGCGAGUAGGGCACCGGACGGGCGACGAGCCAUCUGGGCUUUUAUUUGGAGGUGCCCUGCUCCUCCCAAGGUUCGAACCUUUACCUGGCGGUUGAUCACUAAUUGUUUGCCCACUCGGGUAGAUAAAAAACGUCAAGGACUGGAGGUAUUUGAUCAAUGCCCUCUCUGCGCUAUGGAGCCGGAGGACACGUUUCAUGCCUUUUGCAGGUGCCCGAGGGCGGUGGCGUUAUGGCAAGCUAUGGCUGAGAGAUGGAGGAUUCCAGCUGCGUCGUCGUUCCAGAGGACGGGCUCAGAGUGGCUCGCCCAAACUCUCUGCGACCUUCCUGACACGGAGAGGACGGAACUCAUGAUGACUCUAUGGCGCUGCUGGCACGUACGAAACGAGAUGACACAUCACAAGCAGCCGCCCCCGGUCGAUGCUUCCAAAAGGUUCCUCCUCAGCUAUGUCGACUCGCUUGUGGGCAUACAAAAUAACCCAAGUGCAGAUCUAGUGAAGGUCAAGCAAGUGAACGAUGCAGUGGUGCAGACGAAACCCACAUCACAUGCUCCUGUUGCGGCUGGGACGCAAAUUCGAUGGACACUUCUGCCUGCAAGCUGGACAAAACUCAACGUCGACGGCUCGCUCUGUGCAUCUACUAGUAUGGCUGGAGCGGGUAUGAUUCUGCGCGAUAGUGCCGGCGAGAUCAUAUUCUCCUCAUGCAGAGAACUGAGGUCAUGUGCAGAACCCCUAGAGGCUGAACUGCUUGCGUGUAUGAAGGGCCUGAACCUUGCCUUACAAUGGACGCAGCAACCUAUCGUAGUGGAAACAGACUGCCUUGUUGCUCUCAACAUGAUCAUAGGAAGAGAGAGAGAGAGAUCGGUCCCGUUACUCCAUGCUUGUGGACCAGAUUAA